UACAGAGGGUGCGAGCGUUAAUCGGAAUUACUGGGCGUAAAGCGUGCGUAGGUGGUUUAGUAAGUCAGCUGUGAAAUCCCCGGGCUCAACCUGGGAACUGCAGUUGAAACUAUUAAGCUAGAGUGCGGUAGAGGGAAGUGGAAUUUCCGGUGUAGCGGUGAAAUGCGUAGAUAUCGGAAGGAACAUCAGUGGCGAAGGCGACUUCCUGGACCGUAACUGACACUGAGGCACGAAAGCGUGGGGAGCAAACAGG
rnacentral:rRNA from 1 species